CCGGGAAGAAGAGUGUCCCUGAAGUCUGGACAUAACAGCAGUCGACACAUGGGACAGACCCCACCUCCUCGAGACAACCCCCGCUGUCCAACACUCUGCCGCUGCACUGAUCUGACAUUGCAUAGGAAACAGUCCUGCUGUUCGUGUUCCCCACAUACACUCUGGUGUGUAUGAUGCACAGUUUGUGAUGUUUAGUAUGGGUGUAGAAG